rnacentral:rRNA from 1 species
GAUGAACGCUGGCGGCGUGCCUAAUACAUGCAAGUCGAGCGAACAGACGAGGAGCUUGCUCCUCUGACGUUAGCGGCGGACGGGUGAGUAACACGUGGAUAACCUACCUAUAAGACUGGGAUAACUUCGGGAAACCGGAGCUAAUACCGGAUAAUAUAUUGAACCGCAUUGUUCAAUAGUGAAAGACGGUUUUGCUGUCACUUAUAGAUGGAUCCGCGCCGCAUUAGCUAGUUGGUAAGGUAACGGCUUACCAAGGCAACGAUGCGUAGCCGACCUGAGAGACUGGUCGGCGACACUGGAGCGGAGACGCGGUCCAGACUCCUGCGGGAGGCAGCAGUAGGGAAUCUGCCGCAAUGGGCGAAAGCCUGACGGAGCGACGCCGCGUGAGUGAUAAAGGUCUUCGGAUCGUAAAACUCUGUUAUGAGGGAAGAACAAAUGUGUAAGUAACUAUGCACGUCUUGACGGUAACUAAUCAGAAAGCCACGGCUAACUACGUG